rnacentral:pre_miRNA from 1 species
AAGUAGUGUGACAUGCCCGUUUGGUAUUAAACUCUGAUGUAUUAUUUAUUAUUUAAUUGUUUGGGAUAACGGGGUGUUACACCUGG